UCUGGGGUGACCCAGAAUCUGAAGGAAGUCGGCGGCAAACCUCCGCUCCUAGGAACACGAACUUCAUAUAAGGCUAGGUAGACUUGGGUGAGAUUGCCUAACAAAUCAAAGUCCAGACUGCCAAAGGGUCUACCGAGUAAAUGAAGAGGAGACAUGGAGGGGAAGAAUGUGUA
rfam:Bacillus halodurans C-125 DNA, complete genome.